CGGCGCAACAUGUCACGACGCGCCGUGCCGUGUCACGACGUGCCGUGCUGUGUCACGCUGUGCCGUGCCGUUUUAUGUCACGCCGUUGCGUGUCGUGCCGUGCCGUUCUGUGUCAUGCCGUGCCGUGCCGUGCGGUGACAUGCCGUGCCGUGUCACAGUGUGCCACGCCAUGUCGUGCCAUGUCAUGCCGUGCCGUGUCACGCCGUGCCGUGCCGUUUUAUGUCGCGCCAUUGUGUGUCACACCGUGCCGUGCCGUUCUGUGUCAUGCCGCGCCGUGCCGUGCCAUGCGGUGACACGCCGGGCCGUGUCACACCGUGCCAUGCCACGUCGUGCCGUGUCGUGCCACGUUGUGCCGUGUCAUGCUGUGGCAUUCCGUGCUGUGCCGUGUCACGCUGUGACCCCCUGUCCCUUCUCAUGCCAUGCUGUGCCACGUCACGCUGUGCCAUGUCAUGCCGUGCCAUGCUGUGCCAUGCCGUGCUGUGCCACGUCACACUGUCACCACUGUCCCUUGUGGUGCCAUGCUGUGCCACGUCACACCGUGCCAUUCCGUGCCAUGCUGUGCCGUGUCACGCUGUGACCCCCUGUCCCUUGUCAUGCCAUGCUGUGCCGUGCCGUGCCGUGUCCCACUGUGACCGCUGUCCCUUGCCGUGCCGUGCUGUGUCACGUCACGCCGUGCCAUUCCGUGCCAUGCUGUGCUGUGCCGUGUCACACUGUGACCACUGUCCCUUGUCAUCCCGCGCUGUGCCAUGUCAUGCUGUGCCGUUCCAUGCCGCGCCACGCUUCGUGCCCCAUCCGGGUGUGCCACCAUGUCCCAGCACCCCGCAGCUGGUCCCCGUGGCAUCCUUGUGUCCCCACCGUGUCCCCAUGUCCCCCUGCCGUCCCGGUGUCCCCACGCUGUCCCGGUGUCCCCAUGUUGUCUCCCCAUGUCCCCUUGCUGUCCUGGUGUCUCCAAGCUGUCCCCAUGUCCCCACACCAUCGUGGUGUGCCCACGCUGUCCCAGUGUCCCUCUGCUGUCCUCAUGUCCCCACGCUGUCCCCAUGUCCCCACGCCAGCCCGGUGUCCCCACGCUGUCCCAGUGUCCCUCUGCUGUCCUCAUGUCCCCACGCUGUCCCCAAGUCCCCACGCCGUCCCAGUGUCCCCACGCCGUCCCGGUGUCCCCACGCCAUCGCAGUGUCCCCACGCUGCCUCCCCACAUCCCGCUGCUGUCCCCACAUCCCCACGCCGUCCUGGUGUCCCCACGGCGUCCCGGUGUCCCCACGCCAUCCCGGUGUCCCCACGCCGCCUCCCCACAUCCCGCCACUGUCCCCACGUCCCCACACCGUCCCGGUGUCCCCACACUGUCCCAGUGCCCCUCUGCUGUCCCCAUGUCCCCACUCUGUCCUGGUGUCCCCAUGCCAACCCGGUGUCCCCACGCUGUCCCCAUGUCCGCACACUGUCCCCACGUCCCCACGCCGUCCCCAUGUCCCCACGC
ensembl:lncRNA